rnacentral:rRNA from 1 species
AGCGAACGCUGGCGGCAGGCUUAACACAUGCAAGUCGAGCGGGCACUUUCGGGUGUCAGCGGCGGACGGGUGAGUAACGCGUGGGAACGUGCCCUCUGGUUCGGAAUAACUCAGGGAAACUUGAGCUAAUACCGGAUACGCCCUUUUGGGGAAAGGCUUGCUGCCGGAGGAUCGGCCCGCGUCUGAUUAGCUAGUUGGUGAGGUAACGGCUCACCAAGGCGACGAUCAGUAGCUGGUCUGAGAGGAUGAUCAGCCACACUGGGACUGAGACACGGCCCAGACUCCUACGGGAGGCAGAAGUGGGGAAUACUGGACGAGGGGCGCAAGCCUGAUCCAGCCAUGCCGCGUGAGUGAUCAAGGCCUUAGGGUUGUAAAGCUCUUUUAUCCGGGACGAUAAUGACGGUACCGGAGGAAUAAGCCCCGGCUAACUUCGUG